AUUGCUAUAUACCUCCUUCAGAUGCCUUUCUUUUCCUUUACUUUUAUGGAACUAGGGGUCAAAUCCUGAGUUAUUUGUUGCUUUAGAGAUGGAAUAUAUAUCUAAAUUCCCAUACUGAUGCUUACUAUUAGAGAAAAGUAAUGCAGCCAUUCUACAUUAAAAAGUAGAAAUGACUGACUAUGGUGAUGGCAUAUGCCUCUAAUCAGAGCACCUGGCAUGCAGAAGCCAGGGGUCAUGAGCUUAAGGCCAAUCUGGGCUUCACUGUGAGAAUGCCUCAAUAACUAAAAAAACAUUGAAGUUUGGUGAGGCUCUCUGUACAUUUCAUCUCUGAGCUGUAGGAUUUGGAACAAGUUGUUUGACCUAAGUUUAAAACAAAAAAUGGCAGCCAUUUCAUAGUUGUUGAGCUAACAUAUAGGAGAGCCAAACUAAAAAUCUGCUUUAUGCAGCAGAUCCUUCUGUUUGGGGGAGAAUGAGAAAUGGAUUCUUGGAUAGAACUCUUCAUCUUCACGUUUGAUGAAGAAGAAAGUAAAACAAUCACCUCUUCCUGGCUUCCUCUGAAUAAGAAAAUGACUCAUUUUGUUUGAAGUCUGGAUUGAGGCAGGAAGACAAGACUAAUCAUAUACAUGUAAUGUAUAUAAAUAGAUAAUUCCCCAAAUGAGUAAGUAAACUAUUAUCAAACUAUUACAGCUGGUUUUUAAAAAGACCUUAAUAGUUUUGAUAUUAUCCAGUCAGUUUCCAAUAAGGUCACUGUCUUAGGGUUUCCAUUGCUCAGAAGAGACACCAUGACCAAAGCAACUCUUAUAAAGGCCAUUUAAUUGGGGCUGUCUUAUUGUUUCUGAGUUUCUGUUCAUUAUCAUCAUGGCAGGAAGCAUGAUAGCAGCCAGGCAGGCAUGGUGCUAGAGAAGUUGAGAGUUCUAUGUCUUCAUCCAAAAGAAGCUGGGAGCAGACUGUCUUCCAGACAGCUAGGAGGAGGGUCUCAAAGUCCACCUCCCACAGUGCUACACUUUCUUCAAUAAGGCCACACCUCCUAAUAGUGCCUCUCACUGGGGCAAGCAUAUUCAAACCACCACAAUCAUUAAUGUAACAUUUUAUUUUUAUCACCUCUCCAGGCCAGACAUAGAGUAUGAAAGGUAAUAUUUUUAUAGAAUUUGACAUUUUGUAGAUCCACUUACCCACAAACGUCUUCAUUACUCUAAUGGAGAGAACACAGCUCUUCAAGGACUCACUUGCUCCAGUGCCUGACUAUGCACCCUAGAGCACCUGCUUUCCUGGCUGGUGGAGAUGAGCUAGAAGAUGGAAUGAUGCUGAGAUGGCCUGUGGUCCUGGCCUCCUAGGUGCUGACAGGGCUUCCAGUCACUUUCUUGUAACAUCAACCUCACUUCUUCCACAAGGGUAGUGCUACUGAUUAGAGCACAAGAAGGCCCAAUAUGCCUUGUUGACUUAGAUAUUGUUUUGACUUUUUGUGAAAGAACUUUGGCUAUGUUUCAAGGACUUGCUUUCUCCCCUACUUUUCUUCUCUCCUCCUUCCUCCUCUGUUCCUUUAACCUAAUUCACUUCCUCACAUCCCUGAGCCAUGGCUGCUUCCUAGAACUGUGAAAUCCUAUCAGGGAUGCAGUAAGGAGUGUGAUGUGUGUAAGGUGACAUUAAACACAUAUGCACAGUUGCAAUUCUGUUUGUGUGUCACUGUGAUUCAGUGUAUCAAAUUAGAAGGUGCUUUCUGGAUCCGUGACACUAAGUAGUUCUUCGGGAUGAACUGAGUAUUAGUCAGGCCUUCUUUGAGUGUCCAGGACGUUCUGGGGGACAGCAUCUUCAUAUGAGGGGGCACACAUUGGUCCAUAGAAGCAUAAGGGAUACACUCAGUAAUUCUUAGGCAAGAGACUCAAUGGAGCACCAUUCAGAUAGUCAAUCUAGAAAAAAAUUUCUAUCAUUUUUUGAGCCCAUUUUAGCCUCUGUUUCCCUGCCAAAUGUGUCAUGCAAGUAUAUAGUCUGGGUUUUUUUUUUUUUUUCAAUUUUCACCUCAUUUCUUAACAGAUAUUUAAAUAGUUGAAUCCUUUUGUUUCUGUUUCUACAGAUAUCUUAGUAUUCUUAUACCGUGAGCAUCUAUAAAUGUUCUUAUGUGAACAUACUAAAUGUUUGUUGAAUAAAUAUCAGUUUCUCUUAUCAUUAGGAAAGAGAAUAAUAUAAGACUCUCUAGGCCUUGCAGGAACCCUGAGACAGACUCAUCACCUCCGGUUUCAGAUCAACAAGUAUCAGGAUCUACAGUAUUAAAUUUUGAUGGCUCUGUUUCCUAAGUCCCAGCCAUAUUCCAGGAGCUAUAUGUACCUUAAUUAUGUAUGUCUCAGAAUAUCCUAGUUGUAGUUGGUAUAUUUAUUAUUCUAGCCAUUUAGACAUGAACAAAUUGAGAAAGCCAUAAAUAGCCUGACCAAGGCCACAUGAUAGGUGAAUGUUAAACUGGAGAUUCAGGUCCAAGAUGGCCAAUGGUUGAAAGCACUUUCCGCUAAGCCUGACAACCCUUAUCUUAUCUCCUUCUAAACAGUGGAAGCAGAUUUCUGAAAAUCACUCUCUGACUUCUACACAUGUACCAUGGCACACUUACACAUACACAGACAGACAGACACACAUAUAAUAAAUUAAUAAAUAAAUAAAUAAAUAAGAAUACAUAAAUCCACAAAUAAGUAUUAAAAAUAAACUGAGAUUCAAUCUAGAUAGAGUACUUAACCACAUCAGCUGAUCAAGACACAGGGUUCUAAGGGAUAUGUAAUAGGGAUUUCAGAGCUAAAGCAAAUGAAACAGUUGCUCAUACUAGACCCAUUUUAAAGACUCAAGGUCUCCCAUGACAGAAGGUUGUGUUGGGUUUGAGUUUGACUCUUGUGAGGAGACUUCUAAGCCUACCCCUUUCUAGUAUUAUUAUGUUCCUGGUCAUUGUAUUUUUAUUUUAAAAGCACAAACUUGAUCAUGGUUUUCCAGCUUAGAAUGAUAGGUAUUUGCAUGCUAAAAGACCCAAUGAAUUCACUUCAACAGGAACAUGGGUUCAUAUAUCUACUAUGAUUAUUUAAACCCAGCUCUACUGAUGGAUAGUUGGAAUAUCAAACGAAAGAGGGUAUUUGGUAUAUUCCCUAUGAUAUCACAGAUCUGGACACAUGCAGAGAACCACUGCCAUUAUCGCAGUGAUGAACAUGUCUCUGACCUUGAGAAGUUCUCUGUACCCUGUGACAUUUUAAAAUAAGGUUUAGAGAGCUACUGUCCAGCAUAUCUUUCUGUUAAUACCACCGCAGCAUGUACUUCAGGGGUUGUAAGCGAAGUACUGAGAUCCAUGCUAUGAUGUUGCUUAGCUUCACCUGGUUUGUCAAUCCUUGGAGUGUCAUCCUGGACACUUCUUUUUUUCUUAAACUUUGGUUUCUUUCAAAAACCAGUUCCUCUUUGUUUAUAAGUCACCGCAAACUUGUAGUGUAGAUUGGUACAGUCCAGUCACCUCCUGAAUGACAGCUUUCUCAUGUGCACCCUCCCUCAACUUCUCCUUCCUUCCCUAUGUGUUCAGAACACAUAGGACUGGAAUGUGUGUUGUCAGCAUUCAAUGUCCACAGGUGCCCUCAGCUGCCUCCUCUGCCAAUAUUCUUCCCGGGCUGGUGCUUUCAGUGUUGUUUCCUCCAUCUCAUCCCCUCAAAUCCCCUUAGUCAUUCUCAUCUCUCUACAGCACAGUGCUGGUAAAACUGCCUCGGGAUUUGAGACAAUAGAAAUUGAUGUAGACUGGUGUUGUCAUGGCUACCUUCACAGAGAUGGUAUUAAUUGAGCUGAGUGUUUGAAGACUGUGAAUGAUUUAGGUGAAUAUCAGGGAUGUUGGAGGUUUGACUUUGCUUAUUUAGACUUUGAAAAGAGAUUAUAGUCUAGGAACUAAGACAUAUUAAGCUAAGUUUAUUUAAUUGAAUGACCUUAACUGCAAACAGUUCAGCCACUGGCAGGCUUUACCAAUUUUUCAAGUCGCUAUAUUUGAAGGUAGUUUUUCAUAGACACAAGGUGACUCAGGUGUUUAAUUGCAGUGAAGGUAGACUUUGUGAAGAACAUAUUUGUAUAAGAUGUAGAAGGUGAAUUACUUUUGGCUAGUACUUGCUCAAUUUCUUUGAGUCUCAAAGAAACAGUAGAAAUAGCUAACACGUGUUAUGAGGAUAACAAAAGUAAAGGUUGAAUUAAUUGCCAGCUAGCAACCUUGUGCAUGAUAGAUAUUAUUAGUCUUACCUAAAGAGAUAGUAUUCUAGUCCCUCUAAGAAGCCUCUGCUUCUCUACGUCUGCUGAAGGAUGUCCCUCUAACAGGAUGGACAAAUAAGCGUCAUACUCUGGCUGGAAGUUGUUAUUUUUAGACUCUUCCCAUCCCUUCCCUCCGUAGCAGCACAGUAUUUGGCUGAACUGGCAUUUGUGUAGGUGCCCUUCUGCAUGCCUCAGCACUUUAACUUUUUAAAAGAUACCUUUCCACAGAGAGUGGAAUGUUAGAAAUCUGAACAUUCACAGUAGAUACAGUUUUGAGAUGUUACUUCAAAUGAUUUAACUAAGACAAAAAUCCCUCACUGGUAUCCCCAGCCAAUUGGGUUUUAGUUAAUUCCAGACAAAUGUCAAGUUGACAAACAAGAAUAGCCAUCACAGAUCGAUAGACAAAUACGUACAUAGAGAGAUAGGCAGGCAGAUAGGUAGGUAUGUAGAUACAU
rnacentral:lncRNA from 1 species